UACAGAGGUCUCAAGCGUUGUUCGGAUUCAUUGGGCGUAAAGGGUGCGUAGGCGGCGCGGUAAGUCGGGUGUGAAAUCUCGGAGCUUAACUCCGAAACUGCAUUCGAUACUGCCGUGCUUGAGGACUUGGAGAGGAGACUGGAAUUUACGGUGUAGCGGUGAAAUGCGUAGAUAUCGUAAGGAAGACCAGUGGCGAAGGCGGGUCGUCUGGGCUGGACACUGGACGCUCAUGCACGAAAGCGUGGGGAGC
rnacentral:rRNA from 1 species